rnacentral:rRNA from 1 species
GGAUGCAAGUGUUAUCCGGAAUCACUGGGCGUAAAGCGUCUGUAGGUGGUCAAAUAAGUCAACUGUUAAAUCUUGAGGCUCAACCUCAAAAUCGCAGUCGAAACUAUUAGACUAGAGUAUAGUAGGGGUAAAGGGAAUUUCCAGUGGAGCGGUGAAAUGCGUAGAGAUUGGAAAGAACACCGAUGGCGAAGGCACUUUACUGGGCUAUUACUAACACUCAGAGACGAAAGCUAGGGUAGCAAAUGGG